GAUGAACGCUGGCGGCGGGCCUAACACAUGCAAGUCGAACGAGUGGCGGACGGGUGAGUAAUGUCUGGGAAACUGCCCGCUGGAGGGGGAUAACUACUGGCAACGGUAGCUAAUACCGCAUACCAUCGGAUGUGCCCCGAUGGGAUUAGCUAGUAGGUGGGGUAAUGGCUCACCUAGGCGACGAUCCCUAGCUGGUCUGAGCGGAUGACCCGCCACAUUGGAACGAGGACACGGUCCAGACUCCUACGUGAGGCAGCAGUUGGGAAUAUUGCACAAUGGGCGCAAGCCUGAUGCAGCCAUGCCGCGUGUAUGAAGAAGGCCUUCGGGUUGUAAAGUACUUUCAUCGAGGAGGCGUUACUCGCAGAAGAAGCACCGGCUAACUCCGUGCCAGCCGCCGCGGUAAUAC
rnacentral:rRNA from 1 species